AAAAUAGCAGUGGUCCCUAGUAGAUAGUGUGUUGAAAUAGCAGUAGACUAUAGAAGAGACUGUGUUAAAAUAGCUGCGGUCCCUAGUAGAUAGUGUGUUGAAAUAGCAGUAGACUGUAGAAGAGACUGUGUUAAAAUAGCUGCAGUCCCUAGUAGAUAGUGUGUUGAAAUAGCAGUAGACUAAAGAAGAGACUGUGUUAAAAUUGCUGCGGCCCCUAGAGGAUAGUGUGUUGAAAUAGCUUCUAUCUCCAGUGGAGAGUGUGUAAAAAGGUGAAUGUUGUCUAGAGGAGAGUGUGCUGAAAUAUCAGUGUUCCCUAGAGGACAGUGUGUUUGAAUAGCAGUGUUCCCUAAACAACAGUGUGCUGAAAUAGCAAUGGGCAGGAUUAGAUCCCAUACUUCAGCAGUACAUGGUCACUGGAGGCUGUUGCCCAGACCGCUAAACCAGGAGUGACUACAGGUAGCUUGUACUGCUUUCAUUGUCUGUCACUUUUAACCAGUGCUGCUUGUGGUCUCAGUAGCACUGAACAAAGGCAUUUAUUUUGUGAGCCUUCUUUUAACGCACAAUGACCACAGGUUUGCGUGUUGUGUUCUGUGGCAUGGGAUACCAUUGUCUAAUACUGUACUGUGUCAGUAGCGCCGUCUAUUGCUGUCAUUUAUGAAACAUUACUCUCUGUAAUGUCUGUAUGCUUUUAAUAUAAUACCUACUCUUACAAAGACCUGCCUGUCUCUCCGUGGUGCCAUCUACUGCUGUCAUUUAUGAAGCUCUCUGUAAUGUCUAUAUGCUUUAAAUAUAAUAUCUACUCUUACAAGAACUUGCCUGUCUCUCAGUGGCGCAAUCAACUGCUUUAAUUCAGUAUAUUUAUAAUUGCACGUAUCAGCUAUCUGUUUAAGCGAUAAGACACAGAGGAGGGUUUUUCCAAGGAGAAUGUGGCUGGGGGCCAUAAGGAGGAAUCAUCUUAGAGUAGGACAUCAUCAAAGGAUUUAACGUUAGAGUAUUCCUUCCUCUUGUUGAUGUGUAGUGACUUGUUCACUGAGAUCACAUAAUGAGGAGGACAAAAAAAGUGAAGAACAUGAUCGUCAAGUUUCCAUCCUUGAAUUUACUUUUUUGUAAAGCUGCUUGUGCCCUCAGAGGCUGCAUUUGUUCAUUGAGGUCAAACAAGGAUGAAGGAAGACGCGUGCAGGAAGGAGAAGACAGUCUUGGAGUAUACCUUCCUUGUGUAGACUUUAAGUGAGCUACAGUUGUGCUCAAAGGUUUGCAUACCUUUGGAGAAUUGGUAAUAUGUGUACCAUUUGUAAAGAAAACAUGAGUGAGCAGGCAAAGCACGUCUUAUUUCUUAUGGGAUUCACAUUCAACUGUAGGUCAUAACAGAAUGGCACAGUCAUGAAACAAAACAUGGCAACAAAGAAAAAAAUUAACUGACUCCUGUUCAAAAGUCUGCAUACCCUUACUUCUUACUACUGUGUUUUACCCCUUUAGCAUCAAUGACAGCGUGCAGUCUUUUGUAAUAGUUGUCUAUGAGGUCCCGAAUUCUUGCAGGUGGUAUAGCUGCCCUUUCGUCUUGGCAAAAUGCCUCAGAGUCAUGGAAAUUCUUUGGUCGUCUUGCAAGAACUGCACGUUUGAGAUCGUCACUCCAAAUGACAGUGUGCCAGAAGCUGUGAGGCAUGUCAAGGUGUUGUCGGGCAUAUUGUAACCAGGCUUUUUUGGCACAGUAAAGGCUUCUUUCUGGCAACUCAACCAUGUAGCUCAUUUUUGUUCUAGUAUCGUUGUAUUGUGCUCCUUGAAACAAACACACCGUCGUUUUCCAGAGCAGCCUAUAUUUCUCCUGAGGUUACCUUUGGGUUUUUCUUUGUAAUACAGGCAGCUCUGGAAAACGACGACGACCUUGAUCUUGAAGUGUUCCUUCCUUGUGUUGACUUUUAGUGAGCCACUUGUGCCCUUAGAGGCUAUAGUUGCUCACUCAUGUAAACAAAAGAGGACACAUGCGGGGAGGAGAAGAUCUUCAUCUUGGAGUGUUCCUUCCUUGUGUUGACCUUUAGUGAACUACUCUUGCCCUUACAGGCUGCAGUUUUUCACUCAGGUCAACCAAGGUUGAAGGAGGUCGAGCGCAGGGAGGGAAAGACCUUCAUCUUGGAGUUUUACUUCCUUGUGAUGACAUUUAGUGACCUACUUGUGCCCUUAGGGGCUGCAGUGUUUCACUCUUGUCAAACAAGGUGUAUAUAGGAUGGGCUUGGUGGAGGAGAUCAUCAUUACAUUUUCCUUCCUUGUGUUGACUUGGAGUGAGAUUAUCUUGCCCUUACAGGCUGCAGUUUUUCACUCAGGUCAAACAAGGUGGAAGGAGGACGGGCGCAGGGAGGAGAAGACCUUGAUCUUGAAGUGUUCCUUCCUUGUGUUGAUAUUUAGUGAUUUACUUGUGCCUUUAGAGGCUACAGUUGUUCACUCAUAUCACACAAGAAGGAAAGAAGUUGCAUGCAUGGAAGAGGAGAACAUCAUCUUCACAUUUUCCUUCCUUGUGUUGACUUUUAGUGAACUACUCUUGCCCUUAGAGGCUGCAGUUUUUCACUCAGGUCAUCCAAGGUGGAAGGAGGACAAGUGUAGGGACAAGAAGACCUUGAUCUUGGAGUGUUCCUUCCUUGUGUUUACAUUUAGUGAGCUACAUUUGCUCACUCAAGAUAGAAGGAGGACACGUGCUGCGAGGAGGAGACCUUCAUCUUUACAAUCAGAUCAGGAGGCAGGGCUUUCUCCAAUGGAGCUACACUACUGUGGAAUGAUCUCCCGAUUAAGGAGGACAUGAGCCCCUGGAUCACACCUCAGCACUACCAGGCCCAAAGGACUCUUUGCUGUCCCUGUCCAAAGUCCUCCUGGUUGUGCUGCAGCUUAUGUUGCUGCCUGAUGAUUCCAGCUGCCACUGCCCUCACCCCACCUGAUGUUUCCUGUCCUUGUCCACCUGGACAUGCAGCUGACUUGGAUUCUGUUUAUAGACUCUAGACACAGCCCACGUGCAUGUUUUAAUAAUUAUAAUAUUAUUCUAUGUAAUGUUCACCCAGUACAGCCAGAAGAGGACUGGCCACCCCUCAGAGUCUGGUUCCUCUCUAGGUUUCUUCCUAAGUUUUAACCUAUUAGGGAGUUUUUCCUAACCACCGUGUAUAUAAAACAGUUAUUGCUUGCUCUUUGGGGUUUUAGGCUGGGUGUCUGUAAAACUGCUGAUGUUAAAGGGGCUUUAUAAAAUAAAUUUUCUCUUGGGGUAUUCCUUCCUUGUGUUGACUUUUAGUCAGCUAUUUGUACCCUAAGUGGCUCCACUGGCUUCACUCAAUUUGCAUGGGAAUUAGUCAGCUACCACACUGAUCUUUCCUGACUCCCCCCUGAUCUUGCCUGACUCCACCCUGAUCCUGCCUGACACCACCCUGAUCCUGCAUGACCUCAACCUGGACAUACCUGACUUCAGCCUGACCCUGCCUGACUUCAGCCUGACCCUGCCUGACUUCAGCCUGACCCUGCCUGACUUCACCCUGGUCAUCUUUGACUUGACCCUAGUCCUGCCGGACUCCACCCUGGUCCGGCCUGACUCCACCCUGAUCCUGCUCUACUUCAUCCUGGUCCUGCUCUACCUCAUCCUGGUCCUGCCUGACACUACCUUAGUCCUGCCUGACUCCACACUGGUCCUGCCUGACUCCACCCUGGUCCUGCUCUACUCCACCCUGGUCCUGCUUUACUUUACUUUGGCCCUGCCUGAUUCCACCCGAGUCCUGCCUGAUUCCACCUUGGCCCUGCCUGAUUUUACCUUGGCCCUGCCUGAUUUUACCCUGGUCCUGCCCUACUUUACCCUGGUCCUGCCUGACUUCAUCCUGCUCUAGUUCCUGUUUGUUCGUUGAUCGGUAUGCAAAUCAUUUACCAGUUUCGACUUGGGAGACAUCAUGUGACUACUGCCGUGGAAGUCAGGCCAAGAAGGACCCCAGACAGAAUCAGGAAGCUGAUGGAUGGAAAUAUAUUCAAAUCAGCAAUACAUAUAAACUGACUAUAAUAAACAAUUGUUUAUUGUAAAAAAUCA
ensembl:lncRNA